rnacentral:rRNA from 1 species
UACAGAGGGUGCAAGCGUUGUUCGGAAUUAUUGGGCGUAAAGCGCGUGUAGGCGGCCGGCCAAGUCGGGUGUGAAAGCCCUCAGCUUAACUGAGGAAGUGCGCCCGAAACUAGCUAGCUUGAGUACCGGAGAGGAUGGUGGAAUUCCCGGUGUAGAGGUGAAAUUCGUAGAUAUCGGGAGGAACACCAGUGGCGAAGGCGACCAUCUGGACGGAUACUGACGCUGAGACGCGAAAGCGUGGGAAG